rnacentral:lncRNA from 1 species
AUGAAGAGAGCAGAGUCACUCGAGAGCCUCUCAGAAGAGCUGGGGGAGGCCAAAGAAAUCAUCGAGAGGAUGAAGAAACAACGGCGCAUCUGCAAAUGGAUGAGUAUAAUACUGUGGAUGUUAAUAAUUCUAGGAUUAUUAUUAUUAAUAUUAAUUAGAGUGAGCUUUGUUCUAGAGUGGAGAAUUUUUACUAAUUCUUUGAUAUUAGCUGAGAUUUUAGUUCAACAACAAAAUGUUUCAGGAUUUGAAGUUUCUGUAUGGGCAACUGUUAAAGGAAACAGAACUAAAAUAGAGAACAAAACAAUAGGUUUUUGGAGAUGGCUAGAUAAUCUCCAUGACAAGAAGAAUGAUUACUACAUGGUUAGAAAACCAAAGGUCAAACUAAAGAGCACUGUAAAAAUAAAACAUUGGCACAGUAGUGACAUUGAAGUAUAUGAAGAAAAUAGUUUUAUCCAAAAACAAGAAGGGAAUAGGACUAUUAAAUAUUUUAUAGGUUCUACCUAUAGAACAAGUGAAAAUGAGGAACUAGGGGGAUGUUGGAUAUUUAGAUCAGCAAAAGAUUUUAACCCCUGGACAAUAAGACAGUGUAAAUAUAAAGGUACUGUUAAAAGAAGUAAGAGAGAUAAAAAUAUGGAUAAAAUAAAAAGUGCAGCAGGAAUAAGGGAAAAUGUUGAAAAAUGGAUAGAAACCAAUGGUAUGUUAUUUAAAGAAGGAAAUUUCAUUGUGUUAACGACAGUAAGAGACCGAUCAGUAGGAUCAAGAAAAACAGGAUAUGCAGAACUAGAAAUUACAUCUGAAACCAGAAUUAGUUUAGAGUUAAAUAAAACCGUACCAUGGAUAUGGAAAAGGAGAUUAGCUUUACCUAGAGUAAAAUUUAAUUUCAAAAUAGGUUACUGGGAAAUAGAUGAAGUUAAAUGGGAAACUGAUGUAUAUCUAAUCCAAAUGGAAAUAAAAGAAACAUUACAAACAGAAAUAGAAAUUAAAAACUAUUAUGAAGAUAAGGUGAAACAAAUAGAACAAUGUGUUAGAAAAGAAAUGGGUAAAAAAUACCAUGGACAAAAAUACAAAUACAUUAAGACUGAUAGUGUUGAUUUUUCCUAUGCUCACUUUUGUGACAAAGAUGAAGAGAAUAUGGACUGUGAUGAUUUCUGUAAUGGUACAGAUCCAAUCACAGGGAAUAAAACAAAUGAGAACUUAAGUAUAAAGAGAAGGUUAUACUUAAAAAGAUUAAACCUUAAUCGAAGGAAAGACAAAGAAGGUAUUUAUAGAAACAAUUUAGUUUUCUUUAGUGAUGCUGUUUUUGGAUUAUUAGGAAAUGAGUGUGGGAGUAUAAUUGAAAAAUGCUCAUCAGGACAUGAUCAAAUUACUAUUAAUCAAAUAGCAUCAGUGUUAUGUUAUUGGAGUAAGGGGAUAGUUCCCUUACCUUGGACUUUUAAGAGAAGUAAACUGGCUAACAAAUAUGAAAUGACUUAUGGAACUGGAGGGGUAAUAAGAAUCGUUAGUAGGAACCCUCAGUGGAAAAUGUUUUAUGGACCAGUAUAUUAUGCAACAAAUAGCAUGUUAAGGUAUAGAGUUCCAAAAGGAGGGAAGAAUGUACCCUUAACUAAAUUAGAUGCUAUAGCAAUUGAUGAUUUGUCACUAACAAUUGAAAGAAGAAAUUGGAAGGAAAAUUGGUGCAAAGCAAAAGAUAAAAAUUAUUAUCUGGGUUUAGACUGGUUGAGAAAUGAUCUAUGUAAUACUAGCAUAGAAAUCAAAGGUCAGAAAAUAAAAGGAGGACCAAGAUGGUUUGAAGAUCCUGGAGAAUUUGUGAAAAAAGGAGUGGAAGGUGUGAAAAAGGCAGCUGAAACUGUGUUUAAUUUUGUUACAACGGAUUUAUGGAGUAGUCUAAUUAAUCUCUUUAUUAGAGCCGGAUGGUACAUUUUAUAUGGGGGAUUAAUUGUAUUAGGACUAGUUAUAAUAAUGGUUAUUAUAAAAUGUUUCUGUGCAUCUCUAGGCCAAAGAAUGAUGUCCAGAAAAGACAAUGGAGAUGUAUUAACGGUAUUAGGAAAAUUAAUAGAUUUUCAAGAUAAAGGGCAUAAACGUAUUAAACGAACAAAGAAGCAUGACUUAGAAAAACCGUUAUUGUAG